rnacentral:lncRNA from 1 species
AGAUGUGGAGGAGAGCAUUCCAGAACAAAACUAGAAUGAGUGAAAACAGAGAGAGUUAGGAUAUUGUGGCACAGAGGGAGCCAAUCCAAGUAGUUCCAUUUACCUGGAGUAUAGGGCUCACCAAGGGGAAGAUCUCAAAUACUAAAUAAAUACAUUAGGACUUUAUUUUGAAAAAAAAUAGAAAGAUAUUGGCCAUUCGUGAACAGUACCAUGAUCAGAACUAGGCGUUUAGCACCACAGCUAUUCAUGACUGGACUUGGACCAAGACUGGGCGUAGAAAAAUCAUGUAGCCUCGGAAGCAGAGUCUGUGACUGUGAGCUGGCGGAUUAAUGUGAUGGGCUUGGGGGUGAGCUCUUUGUCUCAGCUUCAUCAAUGGCUAGGUGUCCAUUUAAACAUCUAGGUGUUGAUGCGAUGUGUGAUUUUCCAAGGCAUUUGGCUUUUAUGUCCUCAUUUCAGAGAGAACCAUCUGUGGAUGGCUAUCUGGAGCCCCACAGCAGUGGAAUGAUGGGAAAGUCCUUUCAAAUUACAAGGAAGAUUAGCUCCCAUCAUCCACACAGACUUCAAGAAACUCAGAUGGUGUCCUGAGGAUCCCCUGUAGCUCACCCCAAACCUAAUCUUUCUAAGAAGUUGUAGUUCUUUUCUAAAACAGCAUUUUAUGAAGUCCAGCCCCUGAGUUGCAGAGUAGUCAGUGACCAAACAAGCCUGUCUUAGGAGAGUGACAGUCUUUCAUCUCCAGGACAGCCGCAAAACAGACUCCCUUUUAUUUAGGACAAUGUAUUAUUAAUGCAGCAAAGUAUUUUACCUUUCUCCAAAGAGACGAUCUGGAGGGAUGGAGGGAUGGAUAAAAUAUCCUUAUCCAUCACCCGAGCUUGUUAGAGUGUUAAAUUCUACUUUCAAACUUCUUCAAACUCUAAUCCUUAAAUCAUUCUCUCCACCCCACUAGCAGCCCUCCCACCGUUCUGGCUGCACCAGCUCUUUCUCCAGAAUUAUUCCCACCUGAGGGCCACCGGGGCCUCCCAAGGCUCCCAUUAUCCCACUGCCUCCCCGCACAUCGGGGUCUGCCACUCCCUGACGCAUUUGCUGCCUAAGCGGUCAUGUUUUGCCCAACACGUCUCAGAGCCAGUGUUGUUCUGGUUACAAUGAGGUUUUUAUUCCCCCUAAUUUAUGGGAUUAGAUAUUCAGCCAAGGCAGACUUCUCAAACAUUGAAGUCAUACCAUCUCACACAGCUUUAAACUUUUUUUUUAAAUGGCAAAUGGGGUUCAAGAGCUUUCUGAGAGGAGCUAGACUGGCCCAUGAGGUAACUUGAUUAAGGGAUGUAGAAUAAUAAGCACAGAGUUGGAGAUAUUCGGCAACAGAAUGGUAGGACUCAGUCGGGAGAACAUUGGGAAAUCUGCAGAGCUGCAGCAGCUUGGAGCCUGCCACACAUGGAAGGAAAUAUGACGCUCCCCAGCAAUAUGUGCUCCCCUGGAAGAAGAGCUGAUGACUACCCAAAGGCGGGGCAGACAACUUGGCUUUUCUUCCUGUUGGUUUAUUCUUUGUUCUGAUGUGGCUGAUGGCAUUUUUAUGAGUCAAAAAAGCUUGAUGGUUAGGGAUGAACUGGUAUUAUGGUAUCACAAUAAACUCUGAAUCGCAAAAAACUUCCUGAUGUGUUUGCUCAACUGUGAUUCUAAAAGAGCUUUGUAUCCUCUGAAAAGAGGCUCAGUACCUUCAC